UGCUAUAUUUCAAAAAUAUGUAGC
rnacentral:siRNA from 1 species